rnacentral:rRNA from 1 species
CACGUAGUUAGCCGUCCCUUUCUGGUAAGAUACCGUCACAGUGUGAACUUUCCACUCUCACACUCGUUCUUCUCUUACAACAGAGCUUUACGAUCCGAAAACCUUCUUCACUCACGCGGCGUUGCUCGGUCAGACUUCCGUCCAUUGCCGAAGAUUCCCUACUGCUGCCUCCCGUAGGGGUCUGGGCCGUGUCUCAGUCCCAGUGUGGCCGAUCACCCUCUCAGGUCGGCUAUGUAUCGUCGCCUUGGUGAGCCGUUACCCCACCAACUAGCUAAUACAACGCAGGUCCAUCUGGUAGUGAUGCAAUUGCACCUUUUAAGCAAAUGUCAUGCAACAUCUACUGUUAUGCGGUAUUAGCUAUCGUUUCCAAUAGUUACUCCCCCGCUACCAGGCAGGUUACCCUACGCGUUACUCCACCCGUUCGCAACUCAUCCAGAGAAGCAAGCUCCUCCUUCAGUCGUUCUACUUGCAUGUAUUAGGCACGCCGCCAGCGUUCGU